rnacentral:rRNA from 1 species
CGCUGCCGCCCACCCCAUCCUACAGCCACCGCCCUACCCCUCAUCUGCGUCACCAGAUCCGCUGGUUCCCUGCUGGAGCACCGCUGCCACCGGCCUCCAGCCAUCAACCCCUCCCCCUCGAUGGUGAUCACACCCAGCGCCCCCGCCUCCUAGCGCCUCCCCUGCGACAGAUCCGUCUGGAUCCAGCCCCGCCGUCCGUGGCCACCUUCCUCCUGCCCCACGCCAGGCUACAACCGGGCAGCUGCAGACCCGCACGAUUCCCCGCCAUGGAAAGCGGCUCCACCUACAUACGGCGGAUGACCAUCGAGGGAUCCCUCACCGCCCGCUGCCGUGAUCUGUACGUCCGUCGCAGUGGUGCAGCUCGCUGGCCCUGCGUGCAAUUCGUCGAUGGAACGCGUGCAGUGCCCACAUGCCACAUCAGUGCCAUCCCUUCCAGCGAUGCGUCACCAGUGCCCCCGUUUGUUUCCAUGGCGAGCUUUGUCGCACGUGGGACUCGGGUGACUUGGCACGACCAUCCCGAUGAGCGACUGCCCCCACCCCCGGAAUCAGCUCCUCCAGUGCUUAACGGCGAGCUCCACGAUGUGAGAUCCCCAUCCCACUGGCUAGCUCUUCUCCCUUCCCCUCCUCUCCUCUCUGUCGAGCUCUCCUCACUAACCUCCUGUUUGAAUUUUUUCCAAGCAUGAAGUUCACUGGGUACCGACGGGAUGACCACGAUGAGUCGCUCUGCGGCACGCCAGCACACCCACUUGCAGUUCAUUAGGCGGAUGGAUGGAUUUGUGUAGCUCGGUGGCUCGCCAGGUGCGCUCGAUGGUCGUUGUGGUUCACCGACAAAGCCUGAUGGAGCUGCACAUCGCCGAUUUGGUUGCUUGUAUCCCACCAGUGAUGUGGGACUAUUCGCUUGGUGAAGUUCGCCGGAUACACCCAUUGAGUUCGUUUCGCCUCUCCGAUGUGGUGGUGUCCAGCGGUCAGCCCCUACCUCACCGGUACCCACCGCAUGUGGGAACUCCUCGUCUGCGGCCUCGUCGCGGGCGCUCUACCUCGGCAGUGUGCUGGGGUCAAUCAUGCGGUGCAGAUUUGCACAGCAGUGCGAUGCCGUUCAAGCCGGGUGUGCUCCCAAGUAUAGGCUGCUCAUUACGCAGCUCGGCUGGGUUGUCGGUGCAGUUCAGCACGCACCCGUGCGCCUCCCCCUUGUCGCCUUUGCGGUUUGCAGUUCGCCGUCAGGAAGGAGCUCUAUUUCGCCUGUUAAAAAGUAUAAUUGCAGUGCAGUUCGGUUCAUCUCAUGGGCGAUAUCAUAUGACUUUUAUACUUAUUAAUUUAAGGGCAUGGUCUAGACCGUUGCAAUUGAUCUAUCACUUUUACUAGUAGAAUGCCCGUGCGUUGCUACGGGCACAAGAGAAAUAUAGAUGAGUCCAAGAGCAUAAGUUGUGGCCAUCUUUUAUCUUCUCCACGAAGAUGUUGUCCCUCAACUUUUCUACAUAUACAGGUAAUAUAUACUUUUAGAUAUAUACCAAGAUUGUGGGAAGACAUAAGGUAACAUUUCAUAUCUCGUUCCUUUCCAUUUCCUCCAUAUUCACCAUCGCAACAAGACGUGACAUCAUGUGCAUUCUCCUGCAAAAAAAAUAAAAAAAAUGUUAAUUCUCCCUAGCUGCCUCCUAUUUUCUGACAAACCUUGGACCUCACCUCCG